UGGGGAAUUUUGGACAAUGGGCGAAAGCCUGAUCCAGCAAUGCCGCGUGUGUGAAGAAGGCCUUCGGGUUGUAAAGCACUUUUGUCCGGAAAGAAAUCCUUGGCUCUAAUACAGUCGGGGGAUGACGGUACCGGAAGAAUAAGCACCGGCUAACUACGUGCCAGCAGCCGCGGUAAUACGUAGGGUGCAAGCGUUAAUCGGAAUUAUUGGGCGUAAAGCGUGCGCAGGCGGUUUGCUAAGACCGAUGUGAAAUCCCCGGGCUCAACCUGGGAACUGCAUUGGUGACUGGCAGGCUAGAGUAUGGCAGAGGGGGGUAGAAUUCCACGUGUAGCAGUGAAAUGCGUAGAGAUGUGGAGGAAUACCGAUGGCGAAGGCAGCCCCCUGGGCCAAUACUGACGCUCAUGCACGAAAGCGUGGGGAGCAAACAGGAUUAGAUACCCUGGUAGUCCACGCCCUAAACGAUGUCAACUAGUUGUUGGGGAUUCAUUUCCUUAGUAACGUAGCUAACGCGUGAAGUUGACCGCCUGGGGAGUACGGUCGCAAGAUUAAAACUCAAUGAAUUGACGGGUCAUAGCUG
rnacentral:rRNA from 1 species